GAUGAACGCUGGCGGCGUGCCUAAUACAUGCAAGUCGAGCGAACGGACGAGAAGCUUGCUUCUCUGAUGUUAGCGGCGGACGGGUGAGUAACACGUGGAUAACCUACCUAUAAGACUGGGAUAACUUCGGGAAACCGGAGCUAAUACCGGAUGAUAUUUUGAACCACAUGGUUCAAAAGUGAAAGACGGCCUUGCUGUCACUUAUAGAUGGAUCCGCGCUGCAUUAGCUAGUUGGUAAGGUAACGGCUUACCAAGGCAACGAUGCAUAGCCGACCUGAGAGGGUGAUCGGCCACACUGGAACUGAGACACGGUCCAGACUCCUACGGGAGGCAGCAGUAGGGAAUCUUCCGCAAUGGGCGAAAGCCUGACGGAGCAACGCCGCGUGAGUGAUGAAGGUCUUCGGAUCGUAAAACUCUGUUAUUAGGGAAGAACAUAUGUGUAAGUAACUGUGCACAUCUUGACGGUACCUAAUCAGAAAGCCACGGCUAACUACGUG
rnacentral:rRNA from 1 species